UUCAUGAUCAUAGCUCAGAUGGUAGAGUAUCGCACCGAUAACGAGAGGUCAUGGGUUCAAAUCCCAUUUACGUUCUGAAU